rnacentral:pre_miRNA from 1 species
UGGGGGAGUGCAGGAUCCUGGGUUGUGUCCCCAGGCGCCCUGGGAUCCAGGGCCUGCGCUGCUGGAAUCACACUCCUAGGCCGCAGCUACCG